GCGCGAGAGAGCUUGCUCUCUUGGCGGCGAGUGGCGGACGGGUGAGUAAUAUAUCGGAACGUGCCCAGUAGCGGGGGAUAACUACUCGAAAGAGUGGCUAAUACCGCAUACGCCCUACGGGGGAAAGGGGGGGAUCGCAAGACCUCUCACUAUUGGAGCGGCCGAUAUCGGAUUAGCUAGUUGGUGGGGUAAAGGCUCACCAAGGCAACGAUCCGUAGCUGGUUUGAGAGGACGACCAGCCACACUGGGACUGAGACACGGCCCAGACUCCUACGGGAGGCAGCAGUGGGGAAUUUUGGACAAUGGGGGAAACCCUGAUCCAGCCAUCCCGCGUGUAUGAUGAAGGCCUUCGGGUUGUAAAGUACUUUUGGCAGA
rnacentral:rRNA from 1 species